GAACGCUGGCGGCGUGCUUACACAUGCAAGUCGAACGAAGCGCUUAAAUGGAUUUCUUCGGAUUGAAGUUUUUGUGACUGAGUGGCGGACGGGUGAGUAACGCGUGGGUAACCUGCCUCAUACAGGGGGAUAACAGUUAGAAAUGACUGCUAAUACCGCAUAAGCGCACAGUGCUGCAUGGCACAGUGUGAAAAACUCCGGUGGUAUGAGAUGGACCCGCGUCUGAUUAGCUAGUUGGUGGGGUAACGGCCUACCAAGGCGACGAUCAGUAGCCGGCCUGAGAGGGUGAACGGCCACAUUGGGACUGAGACACGGCCCAAACUCCUACGGGAGGCAGCAGUGGGGAAUAUUGCACAAUGGGGGAAACCCUGAUGCAGCGACGCCGCGUGAGCGAAGAAGUAUUUCGAUAUGUAAAGCUCUAUCAGCAGGGAAGAAAAUGACGGUACCUGACUAAGAAGCACCGGCUAAAUACGUGCCAGCAGCCGCGGUAAUACGUAUGGUGCAAGCGUUAUCCGGAUUUACUGGGUGUAAAGGGAGCGUAGACGGUUGUGUAAGUCUGAUGUGAAAGCCCGGGGCUCAACCCCGGGACUGCAUUGGAAACUAUGUAACUAGAGUGUCGGAGAGGUAAGCGGAAUUCCUAGUGUAGCGGUGAAAUGCGUAGAUAUUAGGAGGAACACCAGUGGCGAAGG
rnacentral:rRNA from 1 species